rnacentral:rRNA from 1 species
CGGCCUUGACAUACUAAGAACUUUCCAGAGAUGGAUUGGUGCCUUCGGGAACUUAGAUACAGGUGCUGCAUGGCUGUCGUCAGCUCGUGUCGUGAGAUGUUGGGUUAAGUCCCGCAACGAGCGCAACCCUUUUCCUUAUUUGCCAGCGGGUCAUGCCGGGAACUUUAAGGAUACUGCCAGUGACAAACUGGAGGAAGGCGGGGACGACGUCAAGUCAUCAUGGCCCUUACGGCCAGGGCUACACACGUGCUACAAUGGUCGGUACAAAGGGUUGCUACCUCGCGAGAGGAUGCUAAUCUCAAAAAGCCGAUCGUAGUCCGGAUCGCAGUCUGCAACUCGACUGCGUGAAGUCGGAAUCGCUAGUAAUCGCGGAUCAGAAUGCCGCGGUCGAAUACGUUCCCGGGCCUUGUACACACCGCCCGUCACACCAUGGGAGUUUGUUGCACCAGAAGUAGGUAGUCUAACCGCAAGGAGGACGCUUACCACGGUGUGGCCGAUGACUGGGGUGAAGUCGUAACAAGGUAAGCGUAGAUGA